rnacentral:rRNA from 1 species
GAUGAACGCUGGCGGCGUGCCUAAUACAUGCCAGUCGAGCGAACAGACGAGGAGCUUGCUCCUCUGACGUUAGCGGCGGACGGGUGAGUAACACGUGGAUAACCUACCUAUAAGACUGGGAUAACUUCGGGAAACCGGAGCUAAUACCGGAUAAUAUAUUGAACCGCAUGGUUCAAUAGUGAAAGACGGUUUUGCUGUCACUUAUAGAUGGAUCCGCGCCGCAUUAGCUAGUUGGUAAGGUAACGGCUUACCAAGGCAACGAUGCGUAGCCGACCUGAGAGGGGGAUCGGCCACACUGGAACUGAGACACGGUCCAGACUCCUACGGGAGGCAGCAGUAGGGAAUCUUCCGCAAUGGGCGAAAGCCUGACGGAGCAACGCCGCGUGAGUGAUGAAGGUCUUCGGAUCGUAAAACUCUGUUAUUAGGGAAGAACAAAUGUGUAAGUAAAUGUGCACGUCUUGACGGUACCUAAUCAGAAAGCCACGGCUAACUACGUG